UUUCCGUAGGUGAACCUGCGGAAGGAUCAUUCAUAAUAAAGUGUUUUAUGGCACUUUUUAAAAAUCCAUAUCCACCUUGUGUGCAAUGUUAGAUCUCGUCAAUCUGGUCGGGAUUUUUAUACAUCAACUCAUUCUUUAACUAAUUUGUCUGACAAAUAUUAUGAAUACUUACUUCAAAAUACAACUUUCAACAACGGAUCUCUUGGCUCUC
rnacentral:misc_RNA from 1 species